rnacentral:rRNA from 1 species
AGUUUUGGUCCUAAACUUACUGCUACUUUUAAUCAAAUUUACACAUGCAAGCAUCCACACACCAGUGAAAUACGCCCUAACACAGUAUAAAUGGAGCAGGUAUCAGGCACAACCGCCAGCCAAAAACACCAAGCUUUGCCACACCCACACGGGCCCUCAGCAGUGAUAAACAUUAAGCAAUAAGCGAACACACCAAACUAAAGCUUGACUUAGUUAUGAUUAACAGGGCCGGUAAACCUCGUGCCAGCCACCGCGGUUACACGGCGGGCCCAAAGCAGCAGACUCUCGGCGUAAAUAGUGGCCAGAAUAAUUACCCCCACAUUAAAAACUAAACCAUGCCCUAACCGUAAAACACAGGCUAAAUGAAAUCAAGCACUUUUAAUAACAGGUAAUUUGACCCACGAAAACUAAGAAACAAACUAGGAUUAGAUACCCUACUAUGCUUAGUCGUUAAUAUGAUAUUAUAGUACUAAAAUAUCCGCCAGAAAACUACGAGCGAAAAGCUUAAAACUCAAAGGACUUGGCGGUGCUCCAUACCGACUUAGAGGAGCCUGUCCUAUAAUCGAUACCCCACGCUAAACCCCACCAAUCUUUGCCAUACCAGCCUAUAUACCGCCGUCGUCAACCCACCUCAUGAGAGAAAAACAGUGAGUACAAAAGUUCAAUAACUAAAACGUCAGGUCAAGGUGUAGCUAAUAGAAUGGAAGAGAUGGGCUACAUUUUUUAAAGUAAA